rnacentral:rRNA from 1 species
AAAGGAAUUGACGGGGCCCGCACAAGCGGUGGAGCAUGUGGUUUAAUUCGACGCAACGCGAAGAACCUUACCAGGGCUUGACAUCUUCUGACCGCUUAAGGAAACUUAAGCUUUCCGGAAGGUUUACUUUCUGGACAGAAAGACAGGUGGUGCAUGGUUGUCGUCAGCUCGUGUCGUGAGAUGUUGGGUUAAGUCCCGCAACGAGCGCAACCCCUACGGUUAGUUGCUAACGGGUAAGGCCGAGCACUUUAGCCGAACUGCCGUUGACAAAACGGAGGAAGGCGGGAUGACGUCAAAUCAUCAUGCCCUUUAUGUCCUGGGCUACACACGUGCUACAAUGGCCUGUACAAAGGGCAGCAAAGGGGCGACCCGGAGCAAAUCCCAAAAAACAGGUCUCAGUUCGGAUUGCAGGCUGCAACUCGCCUGCAUGAAGGCGGAAUCGCUAGUAAUCGCAGGUCAGCAUACUGCGGUGAAUACGUUCCCGGGCCUU